AGUCCUGGUGCCCGCCUUGGCCUAGCCCCGGCCCCGGGACGGAAGGGGGCCUCUGGGGUGGCAGCCUGGGCCCAGUAGAGCUUUGCAUCUCUUGGAUAUCUUUCCCGGGCGCAGAAGCUGCGGGGCUUAGGGAGUCGCCAUUGCGCUGGAAAGUCCUCCCGCCCACGGAGACCCCAGCAAACUCCGAGUGUCACACAGUCGCCUCUGGCGACCCGUGCGGGCCGGAGCCGUUCGCGCACAGGCAGGGCGGGUGCUGAGCGUGGAAACGGGGCUGGAAUUGGCCGAGCCAUGCCUUUCCGGGAUGCCCACCGCCAGUCAAAGGGUUGGGGGUGGUCUCUGCACCUUAAGUACUAACCUGCCGCCCACGCGCCUCCUGACCACAGCACCCCGUCGGCUUUCUAAUUCUGUGAGCUGCCCUCGUGGGCGUGGCCUCCCUGUGGAGCUCCCCAUGUGCCUCCCCUUGGUCCAGCCUGCAGCUAGGAAGUGGGUCACAGCGACGGGGCUGGGCUGGGCCAGGCCAGGCUCCGGGAGAUGUGGAAUUGGCGAAACAACUGCCCCAGUAGUAUCCUCCGCCUAGGACUCCAAGAGGUGGCGAAUUGGGGCACUACGCCCGGGAACCAGGGUGGCAGGGCUAGAUGUCCUCUCACCAGACUGCCCAGUGAAGGUGCUGUCACUUUGAUGAAUUAUCAAGGCUUUGUAGUGGGUCUUCUACUGGACAAAGGACAAACUGGAGACUCCCUGGAUCAAAUGUGUUGAAAAUGUUAUAGUGCUGUCAGGAAGUGCUGUUCUGGAAUACAGAAUGUGGCUGCCGUGAGUGGAGUGUGACUAUGAGAUAGUCGCCUGACUGGAGACAAUGAAGCCUCAGGCCAAGGAUGCUCCCUCCUACUCAGCCCUGUUUAGUGGGAUUUUUCAGCCCACUGUAAAGCCUACUGCUGCCUGUAAAGCCACCUAAGUGCAUCACUUGCUGGUGUUCACCAUGAUAACAACAAUUUAUGGGGACAGAAUAUGUUUCUAGAGCUGCUGGUGCCACUGCUGAUGUUACUGGGUUCCCUGAAAUAAAACACCACAGUGCAGCUGGACGGUACUGCUGCCAUCUCGGCUCACUGCAACCUCCCUGCCUGAUUCUCCUGCCUCAGCCUGCCGAGUGCCUGCGAUUGCAGGCGCGCGCCGCCACGCCUGACUGGUUUUCGUUUUUUUUUUUUUUGGUGGAGACGGGGUUUUGCUGUGUUGGCCGGGCUGGUCUCCAGCUCCUAACCGCGAGUGAUCCGCCAGCCUCGGCCUCCCGAGGUGCCGGGAUUGCAGACGGAGUCUCGUUCACUCAGUGCUCAAUGGUGCCCAGGCUGGAGUGCAGUGGCGUGAUCUUGGCUCGCUACAACCUCCACCUCCCAGCCGCCUGCCUUGGCCCCCCAAAGUGCCGAGAUUGCAGCCUCUGCCCAGCCGCCACCCCGUCUGGGAAGUGAGGAGCGUCUCUGCCUGGCCCCCCAUCGUCUGGGAUAUGAGGAGCCUCUCUGCCUGGCUGCCCAGUCUGGAAAGUGAGGAGCGUCUCUGCCCG
rnacentral:lncRNA from 1 species